rnacentral:rRNA from 1 species
UGCCAGCAGCCGCGGUAAUACGGAGGGUGCGAGCGUUAAUCGGAAUUACUGGGCGUAAAGCGCAUGCAGGCGGCUGAUUAAGCCAGAUGUGAAAGCCCGAGGCUCAACCUCGGAAUAGCAUUUGGAACUGGUCAGCUAGAGUUCUUGAGAGGGUGGUAGAAUUUCAGGUGUAGCGGUGAAAUGCGUAGAGAUCUGAAGGAAUACCAGUGGCGAAGGCGGCCACCUGGCAAGUAACUGACGCUCAGAUGCGAAAGCGUGGGGAGCAAACAGGAUUAGAUA